GAUGAACGCUGGCGGCGUGCCUAAUACAUGCAAGUCGAGCGAACAGACGAGGAGCUUGCUCCUCUGACGUUAGCGGCGGACGGGUGAGUAACACGUGGAUAACCUACCUAUAAGACUGGGAUAACUUCGGGAAACCGGAGCUAAUCCCGGAUAAUAUAUUGAACCGCAUGGUUCAAUAGUGAAAGACGGUUUUGCUGUCACUUAUAGAUGGAUCCGCGCCGCAUUAGCUAGUUGGUAAGGUAACGGCUUACCAAGGCAACGAUGCGUAGCCGACCUGAGAGGGGGGUCGGCCACACUGGAACUGAGACACGGUCCAGACUCCUACGGGAGGCAGCAGUAGGGAAUCUUCCGCAAUGGGCGAAAGCCUGACGGAGCAACGCCGCGUGAGUGAUGAAGGUCUUCGGAUCGUAAAACUCUGUUAUGAGGGAAGAACAAAUGUGUAAGUAACUAUGCACGUCUUGACGGUACCUAAUCAGAAAGCCACGGCUAACUACGUG
rnacentral:rRNA from 1 species